UAAUACAUAAAUAAAUAGGAGUUGAGAAACACGCUAUUUUGCAGUUACGGUAUUAUCGUGUUCAGGGUUGGCUCGAAUAUAAUGUAAAACCAUAUUCGAUGGUGCUUAAACGCUGUAAGCGUGUUGACGGUGUACACCCUAUAUAAUUUAUAAUAUUAUUACGCGGCAACGAAUGGAAUUAUUGAAAUUUAAUUAAACGAUCGUAUGUAUAAUAUAAUAUAAUAGGUAUACCCCUGAUG